UUGGUCUCCCAAAGUGCUGGGAUUACCGUCGUGAGCCACCGCGCCCGGCCGGGUUUCCCUAUUUUUAUUUGCCCUUGUUCUUGGGGACUGAUCUUGGUCUGGUAAGAGAAAUCAGGUGAAAGUACACAAUCAUAGGUUGGAGUAGGAGCUUCAGAUUUUGACGCCCCUCCCCCUACUUCUUAUAACACCCUCCCUGAGAUCAUAAAUUCACAGUUUACAAAUUUACAGGGGAGGAAUUGUGGUGGCUUUCCAAGACUAGUCCCUUUUACAUACUGUGACCUAGUUAGAUCUCAUUUCUUCUGAUCAUUCGCUUGUCUUAUAUUUCGGGGGGCAGUGUGGAGGGCGGCGACGUCGCUGACCCGCGCGCGGUGUGUGGAGCCUUCUAUUUCAGUCUCUUCACUUUAAUACGUGGUGCCCCGGGACGUUAUCAGAGCCAGCCACAGAUGCCACAUGUAAAGCAGCAAACAUCCGGAGUGGCUUCCUGCAAGCCUUGCUUUUCUCAACACAAGAGAUUUACGCAGGGGGUUGGGGGAAACAACUUUCACAAGUAAGAGCCGAGUACACCGCUCGCAUAGCCGUUCGGGUGCGUUAGCACUGCACGGUCCAGGGUCGCAGGGCUCCUGGCUACUAAUUGCGCUCACGUCCCCGGGUCCUUGGGCCGGACCCGAGGCUCUAAAGGCUGGGCAAGGAAGCGACUAGCGCACCAAGAAGCUGUGCCCGUUGCCAGUUGGGGCCUUUGGUCAGCGGGCGCAGAAAUUAACUCGGGUAGGUGGCGAACCGUGGGGCUGACCUGGAGGAAUCAGAGCCACGCUUAUCCGUGGGCCCCUGAGUGACCAGGCAAAGGCUGGGUGAUUUCCGGCAGGCUUUUGUGUUUUCGAUGCUGGGAAAGCAGGGGCUGGAGGAAGGACACUCAAGUCGAUCGGGAAGGACCCGUGGGCACCUAGGCAGAUCCGGGUUGGCGCUGGAGAGCAAGUCUGUGGGGGCGGGGGAGGGGAGUGCGCGCCGCAAACCCUGGGAAAACUCCAGGCUGCCCGUGGAUGACUAGACAAUGGUAUCCCUGAACAAAGAACAACAAUAAGGCCUUUGCAUUUAUAAAUCGUGCGCGGGCGGCUGCCUCCCGGAGGCCAGCACGAGGUGGCGCGCGGCGGUGGAGCGCGGCCGAGGGUCCCGCACCUCCCAGGCCAAGUCCCUCAUGUCCAGAUGGCCACCAGCAGCUCCAGGCUCGGAUUCUCCCAUUUUGCAAACCCAGCAGAAGGAACUCUUGCUGACCAGUAGUUCCCAAGACUGAUUUUCUGUGGGGCUGGUGGAGAUGAAUGGCCAACCCUGAAUCAGUCACUGCACCAGGGGGAUGAUCCCUCUUUCUGCCUUGGAGCUGGCUUAUCAGAGGGGUCAGCCUAGGAUUUAUGAGAUACUCCCUCACACAACCUGAGAAGAAAUUAAGAAACAACUUUUACUUCAGAACUGAAAACUGUCUGGAAAACCAGAGAAGUGCUGAAUGUCACUGUAAAGAAACGAAAAACAGGAGGCGACGUGUGCUGGGCAGAUGGGACAUGGCUUUCUGUGUUUCCGUAGGUAAUUGCAACAGCAUUAAGAAAAUGUGAGAAAGAUAUUAGCAUGGCACAAAUGCCUGUUCAUCUCCGCUUUUAAAUGUCUCUGAGUUGAAUUAAACCACAGUGGUAAUGUAGAGUUUUUCAAAGUAUACAUAAAUGAUAUUUUAGUUUUGCUAGCUAUGAAUUUAAAUAUUUGAUUACUUUUUGAUAUGCCAUUUCUAAAUUACCUCUAAAAUUAAGACCAAAAUAAUAAAUACACAUAAUACUAAUGUUUCAGAAAUGAGCUCCACCAUUACUUACAGUGUGAUCAUACAAACUAACACCUUGUAAUAAUUAGUCACCUUUUGUCAAUAUUUAUUUGAAUAGCCAACAACAGCAUAGAGGAUGUGCAUUGACUGCUAAGCCUAGAAUGCUAGAAAAAUAAGGAAAGGCUGCGCUUCCUUUCCUCGGCGUGAUCUGUCCACCUGCUAUCUGUGGGGAACUUGGCUGCUGAGCGAAUCGCUCUGUUCUAUGUAUAGCUUUGUUGAUUUACAUAGUUCUCCAAAAGGCACACACCCAGGGUUUUGUUUCAAGUGAAUAAUGUUAACAGACAAACUGUCUAAUAAACCUGAAAUGUUCUCCCAGGGGAUGGAGAGAAAGCGAAGAUCCUUGGAUAAUUUCAGUGUUUUCCUUCUUGACCUUGGGUCCGUCUGUCUGAAAUUGACAUGAAGGUUGGAAUCAACCUCUUGGGUUCAGCUAAGGGAUGUGUGGAACGCUGACGGGAAUGAGAUACUCCUACCCCUAGGCUUUUAGGGAGCAGAUGUGUCUUCCUCUCAAGACAGUCUGUGUGGGGUAGAUGAGUUGGCUCUGGACAGCCCUAAAACAAAUCAUAGCUGGCCAGGUGCGAUGGCUCACGCCUGUAAUCCCAGCACUUUGGGAGGCCGAGGCGGCAGAUCACCUGAGGUCGGGAGUUUGAGACCAGCCUGACCAACAUGGAGAAACCCUGUCUCUACUGAAAAUACAAAAUUAGCUGGUUGUGGUGGCACGUGACUAUAAUCCCAGCUACUAGGGAG
rnacentral:lncRNA from 1 species